rnacentral:tRNA from 1 species
GCCUCUAUGGUCUAGUGGUAUGAUAUGUCACUUGUAAUGACAGGGUCCCCAGUUCAAACCUGGGUGGAGGCA